CAGAUGGUGAACUAUGCCUGAAUAGGGCGAAGCCAGGGGAAACCCUGGUGGAAGCCCGCAGCGAUUCUGACGUGCAAAUCGAUCGUCAAAUUUGGGUAUAGGGGCGAAAGACUAAUCGAACCAUCUAGUAGCUGGUUCCCUCCGAAGUUUCCCUCAGGAUAGCUGGAGCCCGGUGGCAGUUUUAUCAGGUAAAGCGAAUGAUUAGAGGUCUUGGGGUCGAAACGACCUCAACCUAUUCUCAAACUUUAAAUGGGUAAGAGGUCCGGCUUGCUCGGUUGAAGUCGGACGCGGAAUGCCGGGGUUCCUAGUGGGCCAUUUUUGGUAAGCAGAACUGGCGAUGUGGGAUGAACCGAAAGCCGGGUUAAGGUGCCCGAAUCGACGCUCAGCAGAUACCAGGAAG
rnacentral:rRNA from 1 species